ACACAUGCAGUCGAGCGGAUGACAGGAGCUUGCCCCUGAAUUCAGCGGCGGACGGGUGAGUAAUGCCUAGGAAUCUGCCUGGUAGUGGGGGACAACGUUUCGAAAGGAACGCUAAUACCGCAUACGUCCUACGGGAGAAAGCAGGGGACCUUCGGGCCUUGCGCUAUCAGAUGAGCCUAGGUCGGAUUAGCUAGUUGGUGAGGUAAUGGCUCACCAAGGCGACGAUCCGUAACUGGUCUGAGAGGAUGAUCAGUCACACUGGAACUGAGACACGGUCCAGACUCCUACGGGAGGCAGCAGUGGGAAUAUUGGACAAUGGGCGAAAGCCUGAUCCAGCCAUGCCGCGUGUGUGAAGAAGGUCUUCGGAUUGUAAAGCACUUCAAGUUGGGAGGAAGGGCAUUAACCUAAUACGUUAGUGUUUUGACGUUACCGACAGAAUAAGCACCGGCUAACUCUGUGCCAGCAGCCGCGGUAAUACAGAGGGUGCAAGCGUUAAUCGGAAUUACUGGGCGUAAAGCGCGCGUAGGUGGAUUGUUAAGUUGGAUGUGAAAUCCCCGGGCUCAACCUGGGAACUGCAUUCAAAACUGACAAGCUAGAGUAUGGUAGAGGGUGGUGGAAUUUCCUGUGUAGCGGUGAAAUGCGUAGAUAUAGGAAGGAACACCAGUGGCGAA
rnacentral:rRNA from 1 species